ACGUAUCACGCGUAGGGCGCGGUUCCGGCUGCGCCGCCCGCAUCCCAUCUGAGGGUCGCUCGCGACGUCUUGUUGGCC
rnacentral:sRNA from 2 species